AGAGGAGCGGGGCUCCCCUAGUCGGGGGCAGCGCUAGUUUUCCAGUGAGGACCACGUGGAGCUGGGAGGCCUGAGCCCAUAGGCACCCCGGCCAUAGUACUGGUUGCUUUGGGUGCUGGGCUCUCUGGGCUGCUGCCAGUUCCGGGGCGCACGGAGCUUUGCCAAGUGCGCCGCAUCUCUGGAGGGUUCAGGGCCGAAGUGAGCGGACACGGGGACCCCCUCCUGCCCUCCACUCCCCAGCUGUGAGGAUUAUCAUGUGAUUCAGGGACCAGCACAGCCAGCUUUCUCUAUGCCAGGCCAGGCAGGGCAGGUCACUGGGAGCCUGGCUGAAAGGACAGAGUCGAAGAUGGAGACACUGUCCACAUCCCUGACCCCCCCCCCCCCUCCCGAGCCGCUGGGAGCUACUCCAUCCAUCCGCCCAAGAGGGACCAGAGGACAGCUGGGGCUUCCCAGUUCCAAGUCAUUUUCCCAAGCAUACUAAGGCGUCAUUUGCCUGGUAAAAUGCACCUACCUGUUCCCGCCACUUACCUGUGAGGCAUAUUUUCUCCAUAUAGGAGCAAACCAACAUACCUCACUGAUGCAAAGCAGAGAGAAUCCAGCUGUCUUGUAUUAAGCCAGAAGUGAAGAGAUGUGCAAACCUAUGUAGACGGUAUGCCAGGCGUCUGGCAGAACCUUUUUUGUUUUGGGAAAUCCAGUCAUUUGUCAUAAAACAAAUAUUAUUUAUGAUAA